UAAACAUUGACAGUUCACUUACCAACUGUCCGCCCGGGAACUACGAGCAUCAGCUUAAAACCCAAAGGACUUGGCGGUGCUUUAAACCCCCCUAGAGGAGCCUGUUCUAGAACCGAUAAUCCCCGUUCAACCUCACCCUUCCUUGUUCUUUCCGCCUAUAUACCACCGUCGUCAGUUUACCCUGUGAAGGUCAAACAGUAAGCAUAAUCGGCACAACCCCCAAAACGUCAGGUCGAGGUGUAGCGCAUGGAAGGGGAAGAAAUGGGCUACAUUCCUUAACACUAAGGCAUACGGAUGAUAUGUUGAAAUACAUAACUGAAGGAGGAUUUAGCAGUAAGCAGGAAGUAGAGUGUCCCGCUGAAACCGGC
rnacentral:rRNA from 1 species